ACGAACGCUGGCGGCGUGCUUCACACAUGCAAGUCGAACGGAAAGGCCCUGCUUUUGUGGGGUGCUCGAGUGGCGAACGGGUGAGUAACACGUGAGUAACCUGCCCUUGACUUUGGGAUAACUUCAGGAAACUGGGGCUAAUACCGGAUAGGAGCUCCUGCUGCAUGGUGGGGGUUGGAAAGUUUCGGCGGUUGGGGAUGGACUCGCGGCUUAUCAGCUUGUUGGUGGGGUAGUGGCUUACCAAGGCUUUGACGGGUAGCCGGCCUGAGAGGGUGACCGGCCACAUUGGGACUGAGAUACGGCCCAGACUCCUACGGGAGGCAGCAGUGGGGAAUAUUGCACAAUGGGCGGAAGCCUGAUGCAGCAACGCCGCGUGCGGGAUGACGGCCUUCGGGUUGUAAACCGCUUUCGCCUAUGACGAAGCGUGAGUGACGGUAAUGGGUAAAGAAGCACCGGCUAACUACGUG
rnacentral:rRNA from 1 species